rnacentral:tRNA from 1 species
GUCCCCGUAGCACAAUGCAUAGCGCGUUGGACUUCUAAUCCAAAGGGCGUGGGUUCGAAUUCCACCUGAGAUG